CGGGGUGCAGCAGGCGCGAAAACUUUACAAUGCUGGCAACAGCGAUAAGGGGACCUUGAGUGCCAGGAUACAACCCUGGCUGUCGUGAUGCCUAAAAAGCAUUAUAUAGCAAGGGCCGGGCAAGACCGGUGCCAGCCGCCGCGGUAACACCGGCGGCUCGAGUGGUAACCGCUAUUAUUGGGUCUAAAGGGUCUGUAGCCGGCUUGGUUAGUCUCUUGGGAAAUCCGGCAGCUUAACUGUCGGGCUUUCAGGAGAUACUGCCAGGCUCGAGACCGGGAGAGGUGAGAGGUACUUCAUGGGUAGGGGUGAAAUCUUGUAAUCCUCGAAGGACCACCAGUGGCGAAGGCGUCUCACCAGAACGGAUCUGACGGCAAGGGACGAAAGCUAGGGGCACGAACCGGAUUAGAUACCCGGGUAGUCCUAGCCGUAAACGAUACUCGCUAGGUGUCGGCCACGGUGCGACCGUGGUCGGUGCCGUAGGGAAGCCGUGAAGCGAGCCACCUGGGAAGUACGGCCGCAAGGCUGAAACUUAAAGGAAUUGGCGGGGGAGCACAAGGGCGAAUCGCG
rnacentral:rRNA from 1 species